UACGUAGGGUGCAAGCGUUGUCCGGAAUUAUUGGGCGUAAAGAGCUCGUAGGCGGUUUGUCGCGUCUGCUGUGAAAACCCGAGGCUCAACCUCGGGCCUGCAGUGGGUACGGGCAGACUAGAGUGCGGUAGGGGUGACUGGAAUUCCUGGUGUAGCGGUGGAAUGCGCAGAUAUCAGGAGGAACACCGAUGGCGAAGGCAGGUCACUGGGCCGCAACUGACGCUGGAGGAGCG
rnacentral:rRNA from 1 species